rnacentral:rRNA from 1 species
AUUGAACGCUGGCGGCAGGCCUAACACAUGCAAGUCGAGCGGAUGAGUGGAGGUUGCUCCAUGAUUCAGCGGCGGACGGGUGAGUAAUGCCUAGGAAUCUGCCUGGUAGUGGGGGACAACGUUUCGAAAGGAACGCUAAUACCGCAUACGUCCUAUGGGAGAAAGUGGGGGAUCUUCGGACCUCACGCUAUCAGAUGAGCCUAGGUCGGAUUAGCUAGUUGGUGAGGUAAAGGCUCACCAAGGCGACGAUCCGUAACUGGUCUGAGAGGAUGAUCAGUCACACUGGAACUGAGACACGGUCCAGACUCCUACGGGAGGCAGCAGUGGGGAAUAUUGGACAAGGGGCGAAAGCCUGAUCCAGCCAUGCCGCGUGUGUGAAGAAGGUCUUCGGAUUGUAAAGCACUUUAAGUUGGGAGGAAGGGCAGUAAGUUAAUACCUUGCUGUUUUGACGUUACCAACAGAAUAAGCACCGGCUAACUUCGUGCCAGCCGCCGCGGUAA